CUCUUGAUUUUUAUUUAAAUAAAUGUAUGAAUGUGGUAGAUAAGAGAAUAUCACAUUUUGAAAAUAAUUUAGAAGUAAAUAAUAGAGUACAUAAUACACCUAUUUCCAGAAUAAGAAAUAAACUUCAAAUACUUUCAAAGCGGUUUGUGUUUGUACCGGCCGACAAAGCAGCCAACAAUGUGGUGGUGGUAUGCCGUAAAUACUACACGGACGUUCUUAAGAAUGAAAUUUUUAAAUUCAUCUACAUUCAAGUCCAUCCGCUCCACAGAGAGUCAUAUAGUAAACAAGCAUAUCACAAC
rnacentral:lncRNA from 1 species